UACGUAGGGUGCAAGCGUUGUCCGGAAUUAUUGGGCGUAAAGAGCUUGUAGGCGGUUUGUCGCGUCUGCUGUGAAAUUUCGGGGCUCAACCCCGAACUUGCAGUGGGUACGGGCAGACUAGAGUGUGGUAGGGGGAGACUGGAAUUCCUGGUGUAGCGGUGAAAUGCGCAGAUAUCAGGAGGAACACCGGUGGCGAAGGCGGGUCUCUGGGCCGAAAUUGACGCUGAGGAGCGAAAGCGUGGGGAGCAAACGGG
rnacentral:rRNA from 1 species